rnacentral:rRNA from 1 species
AGUGAACGCUGGCGGUAGGCCUAACACAUGCAAGUCGAACGGCAGCACAGUAAGAGCUUGCUCUUACGGGUGGCGAGUGGCGGACGGGUGAGGAAUACAUCGGAAUCUACUUUUUCGUGGGGGAUAACGUAGGGAAACUUACGCUAAUACCGCAUACGACCUACGGGUGAAAGCAGGGGAUCUUCGGACCUUGCGCGAUUGAAUGAGCCGAUGUCGGAUUAGCUAGUUGGCGGGGUAAAGGCCCACCAAGGCGACGAUCCGUAGCUGGUCUGAGAGGAUGAUCAGCCACAUUGGAACUGAGACACGGUCCAGACUACUACGGGAGGCAGCAGUGGGGAAUAUUGGACAAUGGGCGCAAGCCUGAUCCAGCCAUACCGCGUGGGUGAAGAAGGCCUUCGGGUUGUAAAGCCCUUUUGUUGGGAAAGAAAAGCAGCAGGUUAAUACCCCGCUGUUCUGACGGUACCCAAAGAAUAAGCACCGGCUAACUUCGUG